rnacentral:rRNA from 1 species
AUUGAACGCUGGCGGCAUGCCUUACACAUGCAAGUCGAACGGCAGCGGGGGAGAAGCUUGCUUUUCCUGCCGGCGAGUGGCGAACGGGUGAGUAAUACAUCGGAACGUGCCCUGUAGGGGGGGAAAACUAGUCGAAAGAUUAGCUAAUACCGCAUACGACCUGAGGGUGAAAGUGGGGGACCGCAAGGCCUCAUGCUAUAGGAGCGGCCGAUGUCUGAGUAGAUAGUUGGUGGGGAAAGGCCUACCAAGGCGACGAUCAGGAGCUGGUCUGAGAGGACGGUCAGCCAGACUGGGAGUGAGAAACGGCCCAGACUCCUACGGGAGGCAGCAGUGGGGAAUUUUGGACAAUGGGCGAAAGCCUGAUCCAGCAAUGCCGCGUGUGUGAAGAAGGCCUUCGGGUUGUAAAGCACUUUUGUCCGGAAAGAAAUGGCUCUGGUUAAUACCUGGGGUCGAUGACGGUACCGGAAGAAUAAGGACCGGCUAACUACGUGCCAGCCGCCGCCGUAA